rnacentral:lncRNA from 10 species
AUGGAUUUGGGGUUCCUUCCCAUCUCAUUUGGUGACCCUACCUCUUUCUCUGCUGCAACCCAGUGUCUGGGCAUAUUGACUGGCUGUGUGCAUUGGGCAAUGAACCUAUUUGUUAGGAUGAUGACAAUGAAUUCCUUCCCCAUCUUGCUUGGGAAAUAUUCACACUUGUUUGGGGUGCACUUGAACCCUUGCCCACCAGUAUGGAUGAGACAAUAAAUUGUGCAGAAAAAUGGCAACCAAUAUGGGAAAACCUAAUUAGAAUUAAUGACAACAUUCUUGGGUAAUAACAAUUGUGUUCAUUAGGUUUGGUCUUCAGAGCCUCGAGUACCUGUUGUUUUUGUUUUUGUUUUUUUUUUAACUGCAGGUCAAGUUUCUUUCUAGGUAAUCUUAUUUCCUUAUUUUGGGUCAGAGAAUCAGAGAUUUGUUCUUAUGUGUGGAUGUCUUUAUACAUGCUCCUGAUCCAAGGGAGAGGAGGUGUUGAGCCCUGUGGCUGUAGUUGAGAAGGGCAAUUCUGAGAGACAGGACUAGCUGGAUUUCCUAGGCCAACUAAGAAUCCCUAAGCCUAGCUGGGACCUUCUCCCAACCCAUAUUGGAGCAAGAAUGAGAUAUAACAUUUUAUAGUGUUAAGCCACUGAGAUUUUGGGGGCAUUUUUGUUCCAACAGCCCAUUUUGACCAAUACAACUUCAGAAACAAUGGCCCUGGGUAAGUCAGAGGCAUGGAACCCUCCCCAAUGCUUGGUGAUUUUGCUAACAGUGGGUUGGUGGUUUUAAUAUAUGUCCCAAAUUCUUUGACA